UGUAGCUCAAUGGUAGAGUGCAUGCUUAACAUGUGGAAGAGCUCUGGGUUCAAUUCCCAGCA
rnacentral:tRNA from 1 species